AUUGAACGCUGGCGGCAGGCCUAACACAUGCAAGUCGAGCGGAGCGGCGGACGGGUGAGUAAUGCCUAGGAAUCUGCACGGUAGUGGGGGCUAACGUCCGGAAACGGGCGCUAAUACCGCAUACUCUCAGUUGAGCCUCGGUCGGAUUAGCUAGUUGGUGGGGUAAAGGCCUACCAAGGCGACGAUCCGUAACUGGUCUGAGUGGAGGAUCAGUACCACUGGAACUGAGACACGGUCCAGACUCCUACGGGAGGCAGCAGUGGGGAAUAUUGGGCAAUGGGCGAAAGCCUGAUCCAGCCAUGCCGCGUGUGUGAAGAAGGUCUUCGGAUUGUAAAGCACUUUAAGUUGGGAGGCGUUACCAACAGAAUAAGCACCGGCUAACUGCGUGCCAGCCGCCGCGGUAAUAC
rnacentral:rRNA from 1 species